rnacentral:tRNA from 1 species
GCGGUAGUGGUGGAAUUGGUAGACACGCCAGCUUGAGGUGCUGGUGGUAGAAAUGCUGUGGAGGUUCAAGUCCUCUCUACCGCA